GUUAUAGGGACAAGCGAAUAAGUGCACAUGGUGGAUGCCUUGGCGAUUACAGGCGACGAAGGACGUAGUAGCUUGCGAUAAGCUGCGGGGAGCUAGCAAACAAGCUUUGAUCCGCAGAUUUCCGAAUGGGGAAACCCGGCCUUUACAGGUCAUUGCAUACUGAAUACAUAGGUAUGCAAAGCGAACGCGGCGAACUGAAACAUCUAAGUAGCUGCAGGAAAAUAAAUCAACCGAGAUUCCCAAAGUAGUGGCGAGCGAAAUGGGAUGAGCCUG
rnacentral:rRNA from 1 species